rfam:Apis mellifera strain DH4 linkage group 4, whole genome shotgun sequence.
GGAAGUGUGUGCUAGUGAUGGCACAGCUGAACAUUGAUCGCUAACGUAGAAAUAUGGCAGAUCUGCUCAGUGGGUGUUGUCACGUGGUCGCUUCAAGUAGCUUGUGUUUGGCUCCCGAUUGCGCGUGCAAGUUCGUGGUGUUUUGCUUUAAGCAUCAUCUCGGAUCUGCACGCCUGCACGGUUGAGUCCUUCACGUCGCUCCUCGAACUACCGCGAUUUCCAAAUUGGGGGGCAAUCGAAUAGGUCAGACGAGGUUAUAAUUUGUCGCUUCCAUAUACAGGCACUGCAGAUAAGCAGUAUGCCAUGUUUUUUUU